rnacentral:snoRNA from 1 species
UUGUGAAUAUCAUAAUCAGGGCAAUCUAAGCAUUCACUAUAGUAAGACCAUACAUGUGUCCCCAUAUCUAGUUCUUUACCUACCUAGGCUCUUCCAAUAAAUGCUGGUGUUAAAU